rnacentral:lncRNA from 1 species
AGGUGCAGGUGUGGUAGAAACAUUAUCAGCACGACGGAAACUGUGAGAUCUUAUAGUGGUAACAUUGGAACCAGCUUUUAUGCUUCUCUUGAUGGCCUCUUUGAUACUCUUGACUGCUUCUCGUUGUUCAGCUGCAGUUCUAAGAAGAAGAAAAAGUACAAAAAAUAAUGAAUGAAUGAAAUGAAUGGAUAAAUAAACAAGUGAAUGAAUGAAAGGGUCCAACGAGGCUGUAGCAAUGAGUUUUAGAAUGAUCUGCUAAUUUGAAAGGAAUAAAAUGAAAAAAAGAAUGAAGAAAAAUGAAUGAAAAGAUAUAAUAAAAUAAAUGCUUACUUGCUAGCAAACAGAUAGGCACAUUCCUGACGACCAAGUUCUGUAGUAUCACUAAUGUUAACUAAUUCCCAUGAAUGAAGAGUUUCUAUCAAAAACAAAUUACUUAUUAUAGCCUGAUGUAAAAUUACAAAUUAUGAAAAAUGAAUAAGAUAAGGUAAGGAGAUAAACAAGAUAAAAAAUGGCCUAACAUACCUCCUGUUGCCCAUCGAUGGUCCCUUAAUACUAACGAUGUCACUGGUAUUAAUGUUUUAAACUUAAUUUCUUCACUAGUCUUGAGAGAUGAGCUCUGUGAAGUACAAAUGGGACAAUUAGAAACAAAUGAAUGGAUGUAAAACUGGAUGGAGGAAGGGAGAGAGAAUUGGAAGUUCUGAUAAAUAAAGUGAAUGAAUGAACAAAUAAAGAAACAGAUGGCUGGGUGAUGCUGGAUACUUUAAUUUAAGGGUUCCACUUCUUGGCUCAUCUGGACAAUUUAACCAAGUUGCUUUCCCAUGAUGCAGUAGUCUGUCAAUAGUGACAUCAGAAACCUACACAUGAAAAAAAUGAGAAAAAUGUUCAUAAUGAAAUGAUGCAAGAGCUUCAAAUUUCAAAGCCAAUUGAAACCACUGUAAUUUGGGCUUCUGCAUGAACAAUAAUAAAUGCUCACUAGCAAAUUUCUAUUCUUAAUUGUCACAAUACCACAUUGAUAAGACAAUGACAAUAAUGCUUUACCUCCACCAUUCCAUACUCUCCUACAAUUUGGUUGAACAGUGGUGCAAACCGUUCUGUGAUUCGCUGCAUUUCAUUUAUGUGUGUUGCAACCUUUUCAACAGCCACCACAGCCUCUGAAGUACAAUUGAUACAAAUAUUUUAGUGGUAUAGAGCAAGGACAACCCAUAAAAAAAGUCAAUUAAUAUACAUAAUAUACAUCAACCAGUCAAGGUGAAAAUAAUUUUAAAAUGUUAUACAUGUACAACUCCCAAAGACAAUACAUGUGCUUACCUAAAAGAACUUCAUGUUCUUCUGAUUUCUUGUCAAGUGCUUUUAAUAUAGUUCUCAUCAGUAAGGGAUAGCGAAGGAUUCUCUACAGAAACCAGAUUAACAAUAGAUUUAGCUAGUCCUUUCAAUAUAAUUCUCUGUUUAUAAAAUGCUACAAAGUAUGAACAAAAAAUUUUAUCACAAAAGCCUGGUUUCUACUAAAGCACUUCUUGACUAACCUGUAUGGGUUUAAUCAAAUAAGAUUCAAGUGUCCCAGAAUGCUGAUUCUUUGGAUUUCUUGCAUUCAAAAAAUUUCUAAGAUCUUCGUUUUGUCCUUUUGAAUAAUUAACAAUCAAUGUAUUAGUUAUGAGUACUGUGCUCUAUCCUAUGUCUUAAAUAAAGACCAUAGUCGGUGGUACCUGUGCUAAGAAGCUCUACAAGACGGGAAUGACUGGAACAAAAUGCGCUGUAAAGUUUGAAGUGUUCAGUGUAGUUCAAAAAUGUCUCUCCUAUAGUAUAGAUUACAUUCUGUGUGGAGAAUCAAAGCAAAUAUCAAUGUUAGGCAAACUAAAGACUUGCAUGUAUCUUCCUUUUCAUCAUUUCUUUAUGAUUAUACAUAAAGAUGUAAAAGCAUGAGUUUUUAACCUUGUCAAAUUAAUCAUUAUAUGCAACCAUUAAAACAACUUGAUAUACCUGGA